CUUCGCUUUGGUUGGAUUUCAGGCAAAGUUUGUACAAGAUGAGUAACGUAACGUUACGUGAUGAAGUUGGCAACUUGCACGAUUAAAUAAGGAAGAUGAGUACACCCCCUCACCCCCACCCCCCUUGACUUCAUUCAUCAUGGAGAGUCCUUGCCAUUAGCCUUUCCCUUGGCCUAAUGUGACACAUGCAGCUACUCCAACCCCCAAACAAGGCAGAGAUAGCGCUGGUGCCAGCGAUGGGAGGGGAAUGAGGAGGACGCUGGAUUAAGUUUACUGAGACGGGAUGGUGGAUGUGUGAAGUUGGAUUAGACAAUGUUAACAACUGCG